GACCUGACAUCGGCGGAAUCGGACGUCCACUGUGUGUCCCUCCUCACGGCUGACCAGGUGUUACUCCACACGAGCUCCGCGCCUCCGACGAGCACCGCGCGUCGCUGCUGGAAGACACUUAUUCUGGGUCCAAACAGAGAGACGCAGCCAGAGGCGAGACAAUAAACGCCCAGAAGUUACUUCAGUCAGCAGUCACUGAAGGAGCUUGCACAAGUGAAAGAAUUUCCAGUGUUCACCACAGAGAUGAGACCUGGACAGACCCGCAUCCACUUCCCCCCAUUUACACCUUCCAGGCAGCGUGCAAUGAGGAAAAGACAAUAAUGAUUUAUCAGAAGGUCCAGACAUGAAGGAGGCACGCAAGCAUACACACACACUCAGCGUAAUGGCACCUAGAGGCUGUCUGCGGUCAACCACCACCCUGCCACACACACACACACACACACACACACACACAC